AAUCAACGCUGGCGGCGUGCCUAACACAUGCAAGUCGAGCGCGAAAGGGGAGCAAUCCCCAAGUAGAGCGGCGGACGGGUGAGUAACACGUGGGUAACCUACCCUCGGGUGGGGAAUAACUCAGGGAAACUUGAGCUAAUUCCGCAUAACAUCCCGGGCUCAUAAGAGUCCGGAAUCAAAGCUGGGGACCCUUCGGGGCCUGGCGUCUGAGGAGGGGCCCGCGGCCGAUUAGCUAGUUGGCGAGGUAACGGCUCACCAAGGCGACGAUCGGUAGCCGGCCUGAGAGGGCGGACGGCCACACUGGAACUGAGACACGGUCCAGACUCCUACGGGAGGCAGCAGUGGGGAAUCUUUGGCAAUGGGGGACAACCCUGACCAAGCAACGCCGCGUGGAGGACGAAGGCCCUCGGGUCGUAAACUCC
rnacentral:rRNA from 1 species